ACAAUAGUUUGAAAACCAAAUUAUAUCAGAGAAGCUCACGUAAUUUUUUUUAUUGAAAUUAAAUCAAUGGAAAUCUUUAGAAGCUGUUCAGAAUAAUAUUGCUAUUAUACAUACAGCUGGACUUUGGAAUGUGGGUGUGUUCUAUAAUUCGCAACAGUCAAUGGUAUCUCAAAAUCAAUAAUGUGAAUAUUUCUAAGUGAGUUUUUAAUAAGAUCGAGAGUCCGAGAAUCCUUGCGAAGUGCUUUAGUAAUGUCGUAAAAAGUACAUCUGUAUCAACUAGUAGGAAUGUUAAUCACGAUUCAUUACGACUGCGGAAAACUUCUGUGUUUUGUUAGAAAUGCAUUCAAUGCUCUUCCUAAAGUUACAAAGUGUAGUUAGAAAUUUCAAAUUCUUAGUUUCAACCGGGUUUUUAUUAUUAUUAUUAGCACGCGCAGUUCAGUUGGUGAAACCUCGAAUAUGCGCCAUGCGUUUAUGGUCUACAAUUUUGUUUUCUAGUUAAUAGACGUGUCCACUACACGUUUUAUUACCAUAACGUCGGCUCUCCAGCAUGAUUAAGUACACAACUUUCCUACAUUGAAUUUUGUUUUUUUCUAAUAACUAAGUAAGACAAGCAAACUAAUUCAUGACAUCAAGUUAGUGGAUCAAAGACACACCAAUACCACCAACCAUCUUGAGACAUAAUAUUGAAGUUUCAAUUACAUUGGCCUAAUAGCCAUAAAAUAGCAAAAAAAACCAACAUUAAGAUGUAACGCACAAUUGCUUCAAGUCAGAAAUAGGCAGAAUAUGGUACUCAUGCAAUCCAGUACAUACCUCCUACCAAUGCUUAACAUAGCAACUAUGGAUCUUACUAAAGUGGGAAAUUUCACAAUUUCAUAAGGAAAUGCUGCCACUGAAAUUUUAUGAUUAAUAACUCUCACACCUUAACACAUCUAACUUUGAGGACAUGCCUUAUGAUAGCUUAGAAACAUACUUUUCAGAUGUAAUGAUCUAACUAGUUCAUUUAAGGAGCUGUUUGAAAGUUUCCCUACAUUAGCUCUCACACACCUACAUCUAUAAUAAUGAUGUCAUUAAACAAUGAGUACAUCCUUUUCCCUUGUCAAUUUUGUUACGACACUGAAAAGUUUACUCAUUUCCCAACAGAACUAAAUCUUUUUCUCUGUAUCUAUUAAGAAAAUAUUAUACUUUAUCAAAAUUAAAACCCAAUUUUCUAUUUAGAUGAAUUAAUUUGAAAUUUAGAGAAUAUUGUUGCAGUAUAAGUUUAUUUUUAUUUUUGUUUUUAUUGUUUAGAUGGAUAUACGAACUCACUGCCCACCCGGUGUUAGGUGGUUACCGGAGCCCAAAGACAUCUACAACGUUAAUGCCACCACCCACUUUGAGAUAUGAGUUCUAUGGUCUCAAGUACAGUGGUAAAUGUAAACUACUGCUUUAGUGAAAGAGUAAUCAAUAUUGAUUUGCUAAGUGUCUAUAUCUGAUUUCUGGUGAGUUUGUCAUGAGCUGUGAGUAUAAAAUCCUUACCAAAACCCUACUUAACAAGUGCGUGUACCAAGCCUUAGUUGCUGAAUUGUGGAGAACAGCUGUCAAGGCUAUAAUAAACAAGGAUGGAAGGACCACGACUGCUCUACCAAGAGUAACCAGCUAUGAUGUAAUAUAUAAUGCUUUUGAAAUUAUAAUCUAAAUGUAUCUAUGGAUUAAUUGAAGUAAAAUCCCGAAAGGAACCUUAAGCUUUGGAAAUAAAGUAAUCACCAUAACUAUGAGACCACCACAGAAACUAUGCUUUCUAAUUUAUUUAAAAUGGUUAUAGACUGAAUUUACAACUGACUAAAAGUUGAUGUUGAUUUCUGGCUCAACAGAUAAUUGUUAGUGCUCUCAAUGCUCAAUGUAACCGCUUACUACCGGCGGGACUUAGAUUCGUCUACUCUCGUGGGUGCUAUUAUUUCAAUAAUAAUGUGCAGCUCACUCUGUUUACCUGGGUCUUCUCGAACUGCUCACGUUCAGCAUCCAGACUGUUCUUUUUCAGCUGAAGCACACGGGGCAAGGAUAAAGACGCCAUAAGUUUGUCACAUUAACAAGUACAUACACCAACAAAAUAUUUUAGAAUUUCUCGUGUUCAGUGUAUUAAAAUUUAGCACACUAAUUUUACUGUUUAAAGUUACACUUAGUUAAAGUCUGUUUUUUUUUAAAUAGUUUCCCCUAAUUUAAACUGGUUGAAUGGUUAAGUUAAUUGUUUUUAGUAAAGUUUAAAAGUUAUUUAUUUAUUUAUGUUGGUAGGUACAGAAUUUAUUUUGAGAUUUAUUAACUUAAAUUACAUAUUUUACUCCAUGAUUUAUUCUUAACUCGCAGAUUAAUUAAAACACUACCUACUUAAAUUACUUUACUCUUUGAAAACUAUUUAGCACUGUUUAAUUUCUCGAUUUUGUGAGGAACAGAUACAACUCUCAAAUAU